AUAUAGUAAUAAAGUUAUUGUAAUAAAUAUAUUACUAUUUUUAGGUUUUAUUCUAUUCUAAUGGGGGGGAAAUUUCAACUUUAAAAUGGAUUACAGUUGUUGUGGUAUCUACAAAUUCCGAAAACCACUAACAGCACAUGAGCUCUGAAUACAUGUGCCGAUAAAUGGGAAUAAAAAAGGUGAAUUUCUAACAGAGUUACUAAAUUAAUAAUAAAUUCCUUAUCUCGCAACAGUAUUUAGCUUUAUAUAUUUUUAUAUACCGUUGUUAUAUAAUUGUCACACUAAGUCACUUGCUUGCAAUCAUUAUGGUAGGUACCUAACUUAAAUUUAAAGAAAAACGCGCAUGCGCCGUCGGAAGAAUAAAAAGAACCGCCGGCGGUUUUAGAAUUGUAUUCGUUAUUUAAAUUAAGAAAAAAAUACUUUGAAGCACACUAAAGUAUUUCACGAAAUACUGAAAAUUAAGAAUAUCAUUUUUGGUUUAUUUGCUGUUUUUUUAGGUUCGUAGAAAAUGUUGUAUGUAUGUGUUUAAUAGGUUCAUUAUUAUAAGCUUGUAAUCAUUUACAAAUUCAUGAGUGCAACAAUGCAUCUCCUAAUCAAUGUUUUUAUUAAAAUCAUAAUCUCAAACAACAAUAGGUUUGUUUAUAAUCUAACAAAAAAAUUCUCACUAGCCACGCCAUUUAAAAAUAUAGCUUCUGUAUUUGUUUGAGCGAGAGAUUCUUGCUCCAUAGCAUAAUGUCUUAUUGGAUGGUGAUAAUAUUACUAAAUUUCUCUAGUCGGUUUGAGAAAACAAAAGCACUUUCCAAAACAAAACAUCUCGUGAAGUGAACUUAGCUUUAGAUAGGUAGGUAUAUCGAGGUGGCGUCCUUCUGACAACAUUCGUUUAUUUCACACAAAACUUGCACUAAAAUGGUUAAAUUACAUCCAACAAAAACGAAACACGCAUUAAAUCACUGGUUUCAACCAAAAUAAACAAUGGAAAACUGUUUAAAACGUGAAAAACACACAAAAACAAUGCCGCGAAACAUACUCGCUUUGCAUUAAUGUAGGUAGAGGGCAGCAGUGUCGCUGGGUUCAAUAUGGCGAUGUUUUACGACGCCGUGGUUGGUCGAUGAGAGCAUUCAUAUGAAGUUGGCUUGGGUGAGCGAACGAGAGAGAUUUAUGUGAACUGUUCGCGUCAAUGAAAGACGGAAGAUGUUUUUGAGCGGGAGUACAUUUGUAUGCUGUCGGUAUGUCCGACCGGUUUUGUCAGAGGCGUUCACGGAACGUAUGUGCCGCUUUCUAUGUGACGAGGAUGAGGGCAGGUAUAAUGUUACUACUACAUUGGGUAAUAAUCAAGAGGAAUGGUAAAAAUUAAUGAAUGACGAAAAAUUGUUGGUAACAAAAUCUUUAAAUAAACAAUGACCUUAAUUGAAAAUAAAUGCUAAAUAAA